ACGUAGUUAGUGGCAGUUUGUUUACGAUGGACGUUUGUGAUGAUGUCAUCAACAGGGUUUGUGUCACCUCAGUGAAGCUUUGGACUCGUUGGUAAAAAGUUUCCUCCUGACGAAGAAGGAGUUACGCCGCCUGACGAAGCAGCAUGGAGCAGACCUGGGUUGUCUUGACCCCAAACGGACGUUGAAGGGGCAGAUCUACUCCUCUGUGUAUCUCAUGAGGAAGCUGAAGAAGCAUCAGGAGCAGCUCUGUGAGACUCCGCCCCCCUCCUUCCCUUUUCAGCCCGUGUGCUCGUCCACUCCACGAACCCCCCCACAGUUUUCAGCUGAUCCUGGUGAGAUGAAGGAACUGAGGUCAACCAGAGAAGGAAGUGACAACGACUACAAACACACACUCACCUCUCACUUCCUCCCGCCUCUGAGCGAUGCUCGCACACACAUGGAUCAUGUCCGAUUGUUCCGCUGUGAUUCCAUUGAGUCCAUCUCUGCUGAGGAAAGCUCCAGGAAUCCUCCGUCUGUUUUUCCCCCACCCACAAACUCCAGCACGGCUCAGCACAGCGUGGAGAAAAGUGGGAGGAGCCGCAGCCUCUACUGCUCGUCACCGCAGCGUGUCACAUGCAGCAGCAGCACAGCAGCAUCAGCAGCAUCAGCAGCAGUAAGAACAGUCAUUUCCCCUUUAAAGACCCUCAUUUAUC
rnacentral:lncRNA from 1 species